CUUUCCCAGCACUUUUAAAAAUGCUAGGAUAGCCCCGUUGUUUUGUAGUGAUCACUUUGCAUUUGCCACUAUCCUCUAAAUCAUCCUCGUAGGCAUGUCUAUUAUACCCUUAGGUUUUGUUGAGACAUCAGUUACAUUUAUUUAUUAUGGUUGAUUUGGAGGCACUCUUCAACCAAGUUGUAUUUCGCCAUAGUAUUCACUCAUCUUUUACUCUUUCAAUCACAUUAGGUAAUUCUUCUUGGCCUAUGACUUCUAAUUCCUGCACUAUCUCUCACAAAUCAGCGGUCUCUAAUAUUCCUUUUAUUCAUGCUGCUAAUGGAUUCACCAUGUCUAUCACUCACUAAAAUAUAUCAUUAUUCCACAAAUGUCACUUCAUGAAACAUUUCUUUUUCCUAAUCUUUCUCACAACUUACCCUUUGUUGGUCAACAAUCCAAAUUAGCACCAUUUAAUUGUGAAAGGAAAAAAGUUGAGAAGGAAAAAUGGUAAAAUAGUCAAAAGUUUUGAUCCAAGGAUUGAGACUAAAAAUAAGUAUCUUAACUUUUAAUCUUUACUAUCAAAAGUGAUACUGUAUGGCUAUUGCACCGUAUCUUAAUCCUUCAGUCAGUUAUGUGAACUUGGAAGUACUCUCAAGUUUUCUCAAAAUGGUUGCAACGUGUAGGAUUCUCACAGAGAAGAUCAUUUGGAUAGGGUGUAAAGUAUGAUGUUUGUUUGAACUUUGCUCCUUUCACCUUCUAUGCCACCUCUCUCUGCUACUGUUACUUAGGCCUUUGAGUCUUUAUAAUUAUGGAACUUUAGAUUAGGUCAUGCUACAUUGUCUUGUCUUCAAUUUUUAAUUUCUAGUCGUCAUUUAGGGUCUGUCUUGUCCUAGCUAGACUUUUCAUUAUAUUGCAUGUCAAUUUGGAAAACAAACUGUAUUUAUCCUUUAAUGAUAGUGAAUCUUUUUUCAUAUGCUCCAUUUGAUUCUAUCCAUUCUAAUGUUUUGGGGCCUUCUCCUGUCUCCACUAUGAAGACUCACGGUAUUUGGUUAUUUUUGUGGAUGACAAAUCUCGUUAUACAUGAAUUUAUCUUAUGAAUCAUAAAUAUGAAAUUCUUGACAUUUAUCAAAAUUUUACAAAGCUGGUAGAUACACAUUUUUCCAACUCAAUCAAAAUCUUUCAUUCUAAUAUUGCCAUGAAAUACAAACAAAUUGAUUUGUUAAUGUCUUCGAUGCUUAUAGGACCUUAUCUCAUUACGUUGGUCUUGAUACAUCCCAGCAAAAUGUUUGAGCCGAGCUUGAUUAUAUUCAUGCUCUCCACAUCUGGGGCGAACCAUCCCUAACUGCAAUGAGUGCAAUCUAUACCAUGAAUUGCAUCCUUUCAUCUAUUCUUGAUAUGAAGUCUUUCGUAUGAGCGUCCACAAUAUGCCUCAAUUCCAAAUUAUUCUAUGCUGAAAUUCUUUGGUUAUGCAUGUUUUGUUCUUCAUCAACCUCAUUCCAGUCACUUGAAUUGGCAUGAACAGUGAUUCAUAUCUUCCCUAGUGAGCUUCUCCACCAUUGUGUCCCUUUGAUUUUUUCAUGACAAUGCUCAUGUUACCCCUUCUGUUCAUCUUAAUCUUUGUCUAGUUUCUGCUGUGACGUGUGAGAUUUUUCUUUGAUUUAAGAACCCAUAAGCGGCUGACUCUAUUGUACGUAAUAACUUGUGUUUGUUGACUCGUAGUUCUUCUUUGAUACACGUGAGAAUCAAUACAGAAGAAACGAGCAAGCUUCCAGUAAAGUGCUCAUAUAUUGUAUCAAUAUUUUGUCCUUGUUGACCUGAACCAAAGUUGAAUGUGAAUAUUGUGCAAUUAUCAAUUGGUGUUAAGUUAUAUUUCCCUUC